rnacentral:misc_RNA from 1 species
UGACGCCUCCCCUCCUCCAAAUUGAAAAGCUUUGCCUCUUCAUCUAUUUGGCUUUAAUUUGAAUUCUAGAGUUUUUAAUAUAGCAGAAAAAUUGUGCGGUUUGGUAAAUUGGGAAUGAUAGAUGGGCCGGUUUGGAUUCUCCCAAUUUUCAGGUCUCUUCCGGACUAUAUAGUUCAAAUGUUAAUGAUUCUGUGAUUUAAAGAGUUCUAAAUAAGCAACG